GAUGAACGCUGGCGGCGUGCCUAAUACAUGCAAGUCGAGCGAAUGGAUUAAGAGCUUGCUCUUAUGAAGUUAGCGGCGGACGGGUGAGUAACACGUGGGUAACCUGCCCAUAAGACUGGGAUAACUCCGGGAAACCGGGGCUAAUACCGGAUAACAUUUUGAACCGCAUGGUUCGAAAUUGAAAGGCGGCUUCGGCUGUCACUUAUGGAUGGACCCGCGUCGCAUUAGCUAGUUGGUGAGGUAACGGCUCACCAAGGCAACGAUGCGUAGCCGGCCUGAGAGAGUGAUCGGCCACACGGGGACUGAGACACGGCCCAUACUCCUACGGGAGGCAGCAGUAGGGAUUCUUCCGCAAUGGACGAAAGUCUGACGGAGCAACGCCGCGUGAGUGAUGAAGGCUUUCGGGUCGUAAAACUCUGUUGUUAGGGAAGAACAAGUGCUAGUUGAAUAAGCUGGCACCUUGACGGUACCUAACCAGAAAGCCACGGCUAACUACGUGCCAGCCGCCGCCGUAA
rnacentral:rRNA from 1 species